GGACUCAUAGCUCAGUUGGUUAGAGCGNNAGAGGUCACAGGUUCGAAUCCUGUUGGGUCCACCU
rnacentral:tRNA from 1 species